UAGGGAAUCUUCGGCAAUGGACGAAAGUCUGACCGAGCAACGCCGCGUGAGUGAAGAAGGUUUUCGGAUCGUAAAACUCUGUUGUUAGAGAAGAACAAGGACGUUAGUAACUGAACGUCCCCUGACGGUAUCUAACCAGAAAGCCACGGCUAACUACGUGCCAGCAGCCGCGGUAAUACGUAGGUGGCAAGCGUUGUCCGGAUUUAUUGGGCGUAAAGCGAGCGCAGGCGGUUUCUUAAGUCUGAUGUGAAAGCCCCCGGCUCAACCGGGGAGGGUCAUUGGAAACUGGGAGAUUUGAGUGCAGAAGAGGAGAGUGGAAUUCCAUGUGUAGCGGUGAAAUGCGUAGAUAUAUGGAGGAACACCAGUGGCGAAGGCGGCUCUCUGGUCUGUAACUGACGCUGAGGCUCGAAAGCGUGAGGAGCAAACAGG
rnacentral:rRNA from 1 species